CCGUAGGUGAACCUGCGGAAGGAUCAUUAAUGAAUUCACUAUGGAGUUGUUGCUGGCCUCUAGGGGCAUGUGCACGCUUCACUAGUCUUUCAACCACUUGUGAACUUUUGAUAGAUCUGUGAAGUCGUCUCUCAAGUCGUUAGACUUGGUUUGCUGGGAUGUAAACGUCUCGGUGUGACUACGCAGUCUAUUUACUUAUAACACCCCAAAUGUAUGUCUACGAAUGUCAUUUAAAGGGCCUUGUGCCUAUAAACCAUAAUACAACUUUCAACAACGGAUCUCUUGGCUCUCGCAUCGAUGAAGAACGCAGCGAAAUGCGAUAAGUAAUGUGAAUUGCAGAAUUCAGUGAAUCAUCGAAUCUUUGAACGCACCUUGCGCCCCUUGGUAUUCCGAGGGGCAUGCCUGUUUGAGUGUCAUUAAAUUCUCAAACUCACUCUGGUUUUUCCAAUUGUGAUGUUUGGAUUGUUGGGGGCUGCUGGCCUUGACAGGUCGGCUCCUCUUAAAUGCAUUAGCAGGACUUCUCAUUGCCUCUGCGCAUGAUGUGAUAAUUAUCACUCAUCAAUAGCACGCAUGAAUAGAGUCUGGCUCUCUAACCGUCCGCAAGGACAAUUUGACAAUUUGACCUCAAAUCAGGUAGGACUACCCGCUGAACUUAAGCA
rnacentral:rRNA from 1 species